UGGUUAUUACCAAGGCUUUUAAAAUGUAGUUUCUCAUUUGUGUGGAUGUGACCAUAAAAAAUUUUCUAUGUUUUCUAUAUGCUACCUUGUUAGCAAUCAGUAUUGGGAACAGUA
rnacentral:snoRNA from 1 species